GCAGUGCCAUAUCUGGCCUGGAGUUGGGACCAUAUGCUCUGUGCAGUGUCAGAGUACUGUACUGACUCAGCAAUUGCAGGGGAGAUGGAAGCAGUCAACCAAGAAAUUACUAUGUUGUUGCACCUAUCCCCACAACCUUUGUUGAGCCACAUUAGUGGCAGGUCGGGAGUAAGUGCCAUCAACAAAACAGAUUUUGUUUUUUGCUGAUAAGGCAACAAUCAUUUUACGUCUCCAUCCCCAUAACCACUACCCGAGAAAGGAGUGGGAACAAGAGAUACCUCAGGGACAUCAGAAGAAUAUACAAAUAGGGGACUGGAAGAGUCUACAGAAGGGGAGGCACCAGUACCAGCACUUGUGUUAGAAGCCAUAGUCAAUGAACCGGCUUAGAUGAACAACUUUUCAACAAACAGAAUACAACCAAAACAGGUAUUCACACACAACAACCAACAAAUAGAACACAGUCAAGUCAGGUAUUCACAAAAAACACCAGAUGCUCACAAGUACACAAUCAAAUAAUCACACAAAAUACCGAAGAUAAGGACAGAGUUACCCUCCUUCUUCGCGUCCGGAGAAGAUCGGCCUUCAGAUAACAGAGAAACCCUAGGUAUCAAACCCUAGGUGUAACCUUAAAAGCAACUUUACUGGAGAUGUGGUCAGGAACGUCGGAGAAGCACCCAAAACGUCCACUGAGUGAGAAUGGGGCUACCGGAAGGCAGUAAAACUUCAAGUUAAACCACCAGAAACCCUAGAAGCCGAAUAGGUCACCCAAAAUCAACCAACCAAAAUCAUCAUAAAAUCUUCCAGAAUGUUCAGGAGAAGAAAAUACACUCGGAUAU
rnacentral:lncRNA from 1 species